rnacentral:rRNA from 1 species
UGAGGAAUAUUGGUCAAUGGACGGAAGUCUGAACCAGCCAUGCCGCGUGCAGGAAGACGGCUCUAUGAGUUGUAAACUGCUUUUGUACAAGGGUAAACCUGAAUACGUGUAUUCAGCUGAAAGUACUGUACGAAUAAGGAUCGGCUAACUCCGUGCCAGCAGCCGCGGUAAUACGGAGGAUCCAAGCGUUAUCCGGAUUUAUUGGGUUUAAAGGGUGCGUAGGCGGAUUGAUAAGUUAGAGGUGAAAUGUCCGAGCUCAACUCGGGAACUGCCUCUAAUACUGUUGAUCUAGAGAGUAGAUGC